rnacentral:rRNA from 1 species
AACGAACGCUGGCGGCAUGCCUAACACAUGCAAGUCGAACGAUGCCUUCGGGCAUAGUGGCGCACGGGUGCGUAACGCGUGGGAAUCUGCCCUUGGGUUCGGAAUAACUCAGAGAAAUUUGAGCUAAUACCGGAUGAUGACGUAAGUCCAAAGAUUUAUCGCCCAAGGAUGAGCCCGCGUAAGAUUAGCUAGUUGGUGGGGUAAAGGCCUACAAGGCGACGAUCUUUAGCUGGUCUGAGAGGAUGAUCAGCCACACUGGGACUGAGACACGGCCCAGACUCCUACGGGAGGCAGCAGUGGGGAAUAUUGGACAAUGGGCGAAAAGCCUGAUCCAGCAAUGCCGCGUGAGUGAUGAAGGCCUUAGGGUUGUAAAGCUCUUUUACCAGGGAUGAUAAUGACAGUACCUGGAGAAUAAGCUCCGGCUAAACUCCGUGCCAGCAGCCGCGGUAAU